AGAACGAACACUGGCGGCAUGCCUAACACAUGCAAGUCGAACGCUUUUGGGGCUUCGGUCCCAAAGGAGUGGCGCACGGGUGAGUAGCGCGUGGGAACCUGCCCUGGAGUGGGGGAUAACCGAGGGAAACUUCGGCUAAUACCGCAUACGCCGGGAAACCGGGAAAGAUUUAUCGCUCUAGGAGGGGCCCGCGUCGGAUUAGGUAGUUGGUGGGGUAACGGCCUACCAAGCCUUUGAUCCGUAGCUGGUCUGAGAGGAUGAUCAGCCACACUGGGACUGAGACACGGCCCAGACUCCUACGGGAGGCAGCAGUGGGGAAUAUUGGACAAUGGGCGCAAGCCUGAUCCAGCAAUGCCGCGUGAGUGAUGAAGGCCUUCGGGUUGUAAAGCUCUUUCGCACGCGAGGAUGAUGACGGUAGCGGGAGAAGAGCCCCGGCUAACUUCGUGCCAGCAGCCGC
rnacentral:rRNA from 1 species